GACGAACGCUGGCGGCGUGCUUAACACAUGCAAGUCGAACGGAAAGGCCCUGCUUUUGUGGGGUGCUCGAGUGGCGAACGGGUGAGUAACACGUGAGUAACCUGCCCUUGACUUUGGGAUAACUUCAGGAAACUGGGGCUAAUACCGGAUAGGAGCUCCUGCUGCAUGGUGGUGGUUGGAAAGUUUCGGCGGUUGGGGAUGGACUCGCGGCUUAUCAGCUUGUUGGUGGGGUAGUGGCUUACCAAGGCUUUGACGGGUAGCCGGCCUGAGAGGGUGACCGGCCAAAUUGGGACUGAGAUACGGCCCAGACUCCAACGGGAGGAAGCAGUGGGGAAUAUUGCACAAUGGGCGGAAGCCUGAUGAAGAAACGCCGCGUGCGGGAUGACGGCCUUCGGGUUGUAAACCGAUUUCGCCUGUGACGAAGCGUGAGUGACGGUAAUGGGUAAAGAAGCACCGGCUAACUACGUG
rnacentral:rRNA from 1 species